GCUCUCUCAAUCCUAAGUAUUUGGGGACUUAUUUAGAGAAGCAAUUAUUCUUUAAUUGCUCUUUAGAAAUCAAUUGUCUGAAUCUGUUGGAUUAUAUCCUAAUGUAAUAAAUAUUAUAAUUUCAUUGGGUAUAUAUCUUUAUAUUAAUUCAGGUCUUAACAAAAUUACUUUUCAAU
rnacentral:misc_RNA from 1 species